CUCUGGAGGCAGCGGUUCAUCGAUCUGUUCCCUGAAUAGCUCAACAUAAAGCAACAGAAAUCGAUCGAUAAACCUCUGCAUCCAGC
rfam:Capsicum annuum cultivar Zunla-1 chromosome 3, whole genome shotgun sequence